GUGUUUGGCAAAUCGUAUCCGCGAAUAUUAAACAGCCAGGCUAUUUCAUCGAGAGCUGUAAGAACUAACGCGUCGGCCUUAUAUAACAUCAUGUCGAUACGAAUCAACUGGACCUUGUCUUGCCAAGCUUUUCCUGAAUAUUUGUCCGGCAACGGAUACGCUGGAUGCGGAUUGUAAUUCGGUCGAUCGACCUGCCAGAUCAAGUCCACCAGGUUGUUACGGACAGGAACCAAUCUUAUGGACGAAUUCGCUGGACACGAACGCUAUUGUUAAUUCAGAAACAUCCUCGUUUGGAUGGAGUUUAUCACAGUUAGCUAAAACGAAUGGAAAGCUGUAUGUGCGAAGAAGUCCGAUGCAUAGAAGGGGAAAUAUAGCGAAGUAGUCAACGCUCACUGAAGUAGG
rnacentral:misc_RNA from 1 species